rnacentral:rRNA from 1 species
AUUGAACGCUGGCGGCAGGCCUAACACAUGCAAGUCGAGCGGCAGAGGGGAGCUUGCGGCUGGAGUCAGCGGCGGACGGGUGAGUAAUGCCUAGGAACCUGCCUGGGAGUGGGGGAUAACGUGCGGAAAGGGGCGCUAAUACCGCAUACGCCCUGAGGGGGAAAGCGGGGGACCUUCGGACCUCGCGCUCUCGGAUGAGCCGAGGUCGGAUUAGCUAGUUGGUGGGGUAAAGGCCUACCAAGGCGACGAUCCGUAACUGGUCUGAGAGGGUGAUCCGCCACACUGGAACUGAGACACGGCCCAGACUCCUACGGGAGGCAGCAGUGGGGAAUAUUGGACAAUGGGCGAAAGCCUGAUCCAGCCAUGCCGCGUGUGUGAAGAAGGUCUUCGGGUUGUAAAGCCCUUUAGGUGGGGAGGAAGGGCAUUAAGUUAAUACCUUGCUGUGUUGACGGUACCAGCAGAAGAAGCACCGGCUAACUUCGUG